ensembl:misc_RNA 7SK 7SK RNA
GGAUGUAAGGGUGGUGUGGCUGCAACAUCUGACUGAGGCUGCAGCGGUCCCCAGGGUUGACUCAGCUGAUCCAGCUGGCUAGGUGGGUGUGCCCUCCUGCCUCACCACUGCGCGUACAUCCCUCCUGAAACUGCAUGCUUGGUUGAAGAAGACAACCUUCCCCAGUGGAAGAGGGCCAUUGUUUGGUUAAGGGUAUAUAAGUACCUGUAUUCCCCUGCUAGAACCUCCAAACAAGCUCUCAAGGUCCAUUUGUAGGAGAACAUAGGGCAGUGAAGCUUCUAAGACUCCAGACACAUCCAAAUGAGGUGAUGCAUGUGGCAGUCUGCUUUUUUUU